rnacentral:rRNA from 1 species
AAGAAAGUAAGAAAGGGCGUAUGGCGGAUGCCUAGGCUCACGGAGGCGAUGAAGGACGUGAUAAGCUGCGAUAAGCUUCGGGUAGGUGCAAAUAACCUUUGAUCCGAAGAUUUCCGAAUGGGACAACCUAGCCGUCUGAAGGACGGUUACUAGCACUUAAGUGUUAGAGCUAACGCAGGGAACUGAAACAUCUUAGUACCUGCAGGAAGAGAAAAUAAAUGAAUGAUUCCCCCAGUAGUGGCGAGCGAACGGGGAACAGCCCAAACCAGUGGCGUCGCAAGGCGUGGCUGGGGUUGUAGGACCGCGACAUUGUAUGCAAAUCGUGAACAGAACACUUUGGAAAAUGUGACCAUAGACGGUGAUAGUCCAGUAUGUGAAGCGAAAUGCAGCAUAGCGGUAUCCUGAGUAACGCGGGA